rnacentral:rRNA from 1 species
UACGUAGGGGGCGAGCGUUGUCCGAAGUUACUGGGCGUAAAGCGCGCGUAGGCGGCCAUUUAAGUCUGGGGUGAAAGGUUCAGCGCUCAACGCGAACAGUGCCUUGGAUACUGGGUGGCUUGAGUUCGGGAGGGGGCAGUGGAAUUCCUGGUGUAGCGGUGAAAUGCGUAGAUAUCAGGAGGAACACCGGUGGCGAAGGCGGCUGCCUGGCCUAGAACUGACGCUGAGGUGCGAAAGCGUGGGGAGCGAACGGG